CGUGUAGGCGGUCUUAUCGGUCAGAUGUGAGAGCCCAGGGCUCAACCCUGGACGUGCAUUUGAAACAGUAAGACUUGAGUACUGGAGAGGAAAGCGGAAUUCCUGGUGUAGAGGUGAAAUUCGUAGAUAUCAGGAGGAACACCGAUGGCGAAGGCAGCUUUCUGGACAGAAACUGACGCUGAUGCGCGAAGGCGUGGGUAGCGAACAGGAUUAGAUACCCUGGUAGUCC
rnacentral:rRNA from 1 species